AGCUCCUGCCAGCAAGGAAAAGCUCUUCUGCAGCGGGCUUAGACCCCAGGAGGCAGCGCCCUUCCGUAGGGCCCUUCUCUACUAACGCUCUUGGAUGAUGCUCAGAUGCCUCCCAAAUAGCUGAUGGAUGUUACCUUCAUAGAUACCUUUCCGAAAUUCUGGUUUAAAAGGCAGAGACCAUGACUGAGAAAUUGGCUUAUCCAUCAGAACUCCGAGUGAUUCUGUUUAUAUGACAAAGGCUGCACGGAGCACUGCUGCAGAGAGUAGCAGCUAUUCAUAACCUGCAGAGGGAAAAUACUGGAACGAGGACUGUGAAAGUAGAUGGAUCCAACAGGAAGGAAGGAAGGUGCUUUGGACCAAGUGUCAUGGAUUGACUGGUAGAUCCCAAGAAUCCCUUCUUUAGCCAAACCACACAAGUGCUGUGUAGCUCUGACUCGGAGCUCAGCUCCUGUGGAAAGACAUCUCUGCUGGGUCCCUCACGUCUCAACUACAGAAUCUCUGAAUGCAU
rnacentral:lncRNA from 1 species